GGGAGAUCCAGGUGCCAAAGCAACUUGUCGGGCGGUUAAUCGGCAAUCAGGGAAGAUUCGUGAGUUUCAUCAAGCAAAACUCUGGUGCAAAGAUCUACAUCUCCACCCUGCCUUACACCCAGGACUUCCAGAUCUGUCACAUAGAGGGUACGCAGCGGCAGGUGGACAAAGCCCUGUCAUUGAUUGGGAAGAAGUUUAAAUAUCUGGAUUUAAC